rnacentral:lncRNA from 1 species
UGUUAUAAUAAAUUGGAAAAUCAACAAAAUUAUCUUGAAAGACAUUGGUUACUAUUAAUGUUGAAAUAUCUAUCUAUAAUGUCAACUUAAAAUAGUAAUGUAAAAUUAUCAAUGUAAAUGUCAACUUGCAAUAGUAAAUCUAAGUUAAUGUAUUCAUAAUUUUAGUAGUAUAAAUACCACCCUUUGGAUCAUGUAAAAGACACCCUUGAGAGCAAAAAGUAAUCUCAUAAAACUUCUCCAUUCUCUCCAUUCUCUUCAUUAGCAUAAUAUAUAUUUAUAGUAUUAUAACUACAUUAGUAAUUUAUAUCAUUAUAUUAGUCCUUUAAGAAUACUUAAAUAUUUG